UGUGUAAUACAACUGUGAUUUUUAUUAAAUUACUUAGUUUUUAAGGAAGGCCAGAGCUUCAGCUGUGUCAAAUAGAUUGUUCCCUUUAGUUUACGUUAUUUAAAAGACAAUUAUAUUCCUAUUUGAUCAAUAAAGGGGUAUUGUAGGCCAAUAUUAGUCAUUUAAAACAUAUACAAUGAUGAUAAUGAUGGUGAAAACCACUCCCCCCACUGGCUACUGACUGUAUUUGAAAUGCUUUUUGUUUAAUAGUAAUAAUAAUCAUUUUUAUUAUAACAACAAUAAACCAGAAGAAGAUUCCGUAGUUACCCCGGCAACGUUACGUCGCGCUUUACGUUAACGUGACGUAGCCACAUUACCCACAAUCACCUCACUUUCAUUAAUUUCAUCCGAUUUAAUCUGACAACGGACAACACUUCAUUACAACACUUAAUAUCACCAACACACACAUAUCCACACACACACACACAUAUAAAACCAACGGCACUUUUAAGAGCCACUCUUUCUCUCACUGUCUCUCUUUCUAUCACUCUCUCACUUUCUCUUUUAAUCACUCUCUCACUUUCUCUGUUAAUCACUCUCUCACUUUCUCUGUUAAUCACUCUCUCACUUUCUCUGUUAAUCACUCUCCUGUCUUUCUCUCACUCCUACAAAUGGCUGGAGGGUCACAAAAAAAGACCUGCCCAAACUGUAGUGAACAAAUGUACUGUGGAAAUAAAAUCUGCCCACUAUGUGAACAUCCACAGCCAAAAAAUGUGAGACUCAAAAAGAAAAUGGACAAAUUCCAAAGCCAGCAGAAGCAGUGGUUGUCAUCCAUGACUAAAAACAGAAUCAAGUCCCACGUUAUUGAUGACGCCGCCCUUCUGCUGGAAAAGUGACAUGCCCUUGGCUUGAAGCCCCUGCUGCUGCUGGCGUAUCCCCCUACCAAGCGGGUGCCACGGAUAUCUAAAACAAAGGUUUUGAUGCCCAUGCAUGCCCAGCUUAGCACAUCAGCCAAGACAUGCCUCGACAAUGUGGAGGCCAUCUACAAGCUGAUGGUUGCAGGUUGGACACGACUCAACCCAGACCAAGAGGAGCACCCUGACACACCAACACCACCCCAAGACCCACCCAACCAACUGCCCGAUGGAAGCUACAUCUUAAAUUUGGUGCCAUGUGAUCCAUCACCCAUCAC